AGUUAAAAAAUACGCUCUGGACAUAGGGUUAUUUUCCCUCCACUUUGCUGUAAAUCAGAAAAAGUGCCAAAAUCCAAACCUCUCUUCUCCGGCCGCCUCGGCGCACUUUCGCCAAAGUUGUAUUCAGUGUCUCUCUGUUAAAAGUUCGAAAAAUCUCAACCUCAAAAUUUCAAAAUUGGGCUGAAAAUAGUUGCCUACUUAACGGUACUCUUGACUUUGAUUCAUUGUUUGAUUGAUGAUCUUCCUCAUAUAUAUAGUUUCUUGUUGACUGAACUAAAGUCUUAUCAUAUUCCUGAUUCCUUUUUUUCUUGGUUUUGUCUACAGUGGUAUUCAAGAAAAUGAAUUACAACGCCGACGGUCCAAAGCUUGAUUUGAAAAAACUGAAUUUAUCCCCCACCAAGGGCAUAUAUUCAUGUUGAAUCUCCCAAUCGAUCAGUUUCAUCUUCAGAGAUAUCAUCUCCAAGUUCAUGUUUUUUUCUGGAAGUUAGCUCGGACGAAACUCUACGCAGCCCCUAAGGAGACUACGAUGAUGCUGGUCGGUUGUCCUCGAUGUCUAAUGUAUAUUAUGCUAUUGGGAAAGGACCCGAAGUGCCCCAAAUGUAAGCGCACUUCCUGCAAGAGGACAGGACAAGGAAAUCAAAGAAGUGAAGAUCCAUUAGUCUUUUGCUAAAUCUUGAUCAAGAAUGUUAUUACUUAAUUUUCACUCCAAAUGCUCCCUGUUUUGCUUCUUUUGUUGUGCUAAUUUUUUAUUUUUAUUUUUUGCUUUUUUAAUCUUUGUAUUGUCGACAGUGUAGAAACUAUUGAAUUCGCGUGUACUAGAUAGGACAAUAAAAUUUAUUUUUGAACCCAUUUGAUUCAGUUCAAUCCAACAUAUUAAACAUGAUACUUACAUAUUCUUUCUUUAAUAUCAUUUCGCUCUUAAGUUUCAUAUUUUGAUGAGGUGUAUUGUUGGUUUCAUUUUGUAACGUG
rnacentral:lncRNA from 1 species